GAUGAAGAACGUAGCGAAAUGCGAUAAGUAAUGUGAAUUGCAGAAUUCAGUGAAUCAUCGAAUCUUUGAACGCACAUUGCGCCCCUUGGUAUUCCGAGGGGCAUGCCUGUUCGAGCGUCAUUAUAACCCCUCAAGCUCAGCUUGGUGUUGGGGCCUGCUGCACUGGCAGCCCUUAAAAUCAGUGGCGGCGCCAUCUGGGUCUAAGCGUAGUAAUUCUUCUCGCUAUGGAGUCCUGGUGGAUGCUUGCCAUCAACCCCCAAUUUUUCUAUGGUUGACCUCGGAUCAGGUAGGGAUACCCGCUGAACUUAAGCAUAUCAAUAAGCGGAGGA
rnacentral:misc_RNA from 1 species